AGAGGGGAGGGCCGGACCCAGGAACCUGGUGCCAGUGGAGACGGCUGCCCUCAGUCCUGCCCACUCCUUCCCUGGGCCCACGUGACCAUACUUCCCUGUGAGCUGGAAGACACCCCGUCAGUCCCACGGGGUGCGGUUUACCAAGAAGGGGUGGGCACCCCUGCGUGGCAGGCACCGGCCUGUCCCUGCGGCCAUAUCCAGCUCCCGAAGAUUGGAAAGGAUGAAAACAAGGAUGGCCUGACCCACCUGCUUUAAGGAAUUGGAAACUCUGUACAAAUCCCCAGGGAUACUUGUUAAUUAUAAAGGGAACGAAUGGUUAAGUGUACAGUGGAGAAAUUGGACAUCCCAGCCCUCCAAGAAUGAGAAGGACAGCAUUCUUUCUGCGAGAUUCCUGCCAAAAAUGCAUAACCCAAAUCUAAUCAUGAAGAAACAUCAGACAAAACCCGAUGGAGGGACAUUCUACAAAAUCACUGGCCAGUACUCAAAAAAAAAAAAAGAUAAAGCGAGACUGGGACUCUUUCAGACUAAAGUAGACAAUUAAAUGGGUAAAUCUAAAUGAGAUCUGUCAAUGAGAUCAGUCUAGGUGAGAUUGGUAGGUUUGGUGAUCGUA